rnacentral:rRNA from 1 species
CCUACGGGAGGCAGCAGUGAGGAAUAUUGGUCAAUGGGCGAGAGCCUGAACCAGCCAAGUAGCGUGCAGGAUGACGGCCCUAUGGGUUGUAAACUGCUUUUGUGCGGGAAUAACGGUCGCCACGUGUGGUGAUGUGCAUGUACCGUACGAAUAAGCAUCGGCUAACUCCGUGCCAGCAGCCGCGGUAAUA